GACGAACCGUGCGAACGUUGUUCGGAAUCACUGGGCUUAAAGGGCGCGUAGGCGGGUUACCAAGUCCGGGGUGAAAUCUUUCGGCUCAACCGGAAAAGUGCCUUGGAUACUGGUAGUCUCGAGGGAGGUAGGGGUAUGUGGAACUUCCGGUGGAGCGGUGAAAUGCGUUGAUAUCGGAAGGAACGCCGGUGGCGAAAGCGACGUACUGGACCUUUUCUGACGCUGAGGCGCGAAAGCCAGGGGAGCGAACGGG
rnacentral:rRNA from 1 species